AGUGUGCUCGAUAUGUUGAAAACUUUUGGCGUGUGAAGAAAUUAGUUUCAGUAAAGAAAUAGGGGUGUACAUAAACAUAUAAAGUUAGUGUUAAAUUAAAUAGUAUUAAUUACAUAUUACAAAACGUGUGCAAAAUAAUUUUACAUGUGUACCAAAUUAAUUAGGAUAAAUUAUAUAAUAUUGACUACAAAAAAAAAAAAAAAAAAAAAAAAAAAAAAAAAAAAAAAAAAAAAAAAAAAAAAAAAAAAAAAAAAAAAAAAAAAAAAAAAAACAGAGAUCAAGUAAGUCACGUC
rnacentral:misc_RNA from 1 species